rnacentral:rRNA from 1 species
GACGAACGCUGGCGGCGUGCUUAACACAUGCAAGUCGAACGGAAAGGCCCUGCUUUUGUGGGGUGCUCGAGUGGCGAACGGGUGAGUAACACGUGAGUAACCUGCCCUUGACUUUGGGAUAACUUCAGGAAACUGGGGCUAAUACCGGAUAGGAGCUCCUGCUGCAUGGUGGGGGUUGGAAAGUUUCGGCGGUUGGGGAUGGACUCGCGGCUUAUCAGCUUGUUGGUGGGGUAGUGGCUUACCAAGGCUUUGACGGGUAGCCGGCCUGAGAGGGUGACCGGACACAUUGGGACUGAGAUACGGCCCAGACUCCUACGGGAGGCAGCAGUGGGGAAUAUUGCACAAUGGGAGGAAGCCUGAUGCAGCCACGCCGCGUGCGGGAUGACGGCCUUCGGGUUGUAAACCGCUUUCGCCUGUGACGAAGCGUGAGUGACGGUAAUGGGUAAAGAAGCACCGGCUAACUACGUG